rnacentral:rRNA from 1 species
GAUGAACGCUGGCGGCGUGCCUAAUACAUGCAAGUAGAACGCUGAAGGAGGAGCUUGCUCUUCUGGAUGAGUUGCGAACGGGUGAGUAACGCGUAGGUAACCUGCCUGGUAGCGGGGGAUAACUAUUGGAAACGAUAGCUAAUACCGCAUGACAACAGUUAUUGCAUGAUAACUGUUUAAAAGGGGCAACUGCUCCACUACCAGAUGGACCUGCGUUGUAUUAGCUAGUUGGUGAGGUAACGGCUCACCAAGGCGACGAUACAUAGCCGACCUGAGAGGGUGAUCGGCCACACUGGGACUGAGACACGGCCCAGACACCUACGGGAGGCAGCAGUAGGGAAUCUUCGGCAAUGGACGGAAGUCUGACCGAGCAACGCCGCGUGAGUGAAGAAGGUUUUCGGAUCGUAAAGCUCUGUUGUAAGAGAAGAACGAGUGUGAGAGUGGAAAGUUCACACUGUGACGGUAUCUUACCAGAAAGGGACGGCUAACUACGUG